rnacentral:rRNA from 1 species
UUAAGCGACUAAGCGUACACGGUGGAUGCCCUGGCAGUCAGAGGCGAUGAAGGACGUGCUAAUCUGCGAUAAGCGUCGGUAAGGUGAUAUGAACCGUUAUAACCGGCGAUUUCCGAAUGGGGAAACCCAGUGUGUUUCGACACACUAUCAUUAACUGAAUCCAUAGGUUAAUGAGGCGAACCGGGGGAACUGAAACAUCUAAGUACCCCGAGGAAAAGAAAUCAACCGAGAUUCCCCCAGUAGCGGCGAGCGAACGGGGAGCAGCCCAGAGCCUGAAUCAGUGUGUGUGUUAGUGGAAGCGUCUGGAAAGGCGCGCGAUACAGGGUGACAGCCCCGUACACAAAAAUGCACAUGCUGUGAGCUCGAUGAGUAGGGCGGGACACGUGGUAUCCUGUCUGAAUAUGGGGGGACCAUCCUCCAAGGCUAAAUACUCCUGACUGACCGAUAGUGAACCAGUACCGUGAGGGAAAGGCGAAAAGAACCCCGGCGAGGGGAGUGAAAAAGAACCUGAAACCGUGUACGUACAAGCAGUGGGAGCACGCUUAGGCGUGUGACUGCGUACCUUUUGUAUAAUGGGUCAGCGACUUAUAUUCUGUAGCAAGGUUAACCGAAUAGGGGAGCCGAAGGGAAACCGAGUCUUAACUGGGCGUUAAGUUGCAGGGUAUAGACCCGAAACCCGGUGAUCUAGCCAUGGGCAGGUUGAAGGUUGGGUAACACUAACUGGAGGACCGAACCGACUAAUGUUGAAAAAUUAGCGGAUGACUUGUGGCUGGGGGUGAAAGGCCAAUCAAACCGGGAGAUAGCUGGUUCUCCCCGAAAGCUAUUUAGGUAGCGCCUCGUGAAUUCAUCUCCGGGGGUAGAGCACUGUUUCGGCAAGGGGGUCAUCCCGACUUACCAACCCGAUGCAAACUGCGAAUACCGGAGAAUGUUAUCACGGGAGACACACGGCGGGUGCUAACGUCCGUCGUGAAGAGGGAAACAACCCAGACCGCCAGCUAAGGUCCCAAAGUCAUGGUUAAGUGGGAAACGAUGUGGGAAGGCCCAGACAGCCAGGAUGUUGGCUUAGAAGCAGCCAUCAUUUAAAGAAAGCGUAAUAGCUCACUGGUCGAGUCGGCCUGCGCGGAAGAUGUAACGGGGCUAAACCAUGCACCGAAGCUGCGGCAGCGACGCUUAUGCGUUGUUGGGUAGGGGAGCGUUCUGUAAGCCUGUGAAGGUGUACUGUGAGGUAUGCUGGAGGUAUCAGAAGUGCGAAUGCUGACAUAAGUAACGAUAAAGCGGGUGAAAAGCCCGCUCGCCGGAAGACCAAGGGUUCCUGUCCAACGUUAAUCGGGGCAGGGUGAGUCGACCCCUAAGGCGAGGCCGAAAGGCGUAGUCGAUGGGAAACAGGUUAAUAUUCCUGUACUUGGUGUUACUGCGAAGGGGGGACGGAGAAGGCUAUGUUGGCCGGGCGACGGUUGUCCCGGUUUAAGCGUGUAGGCUGGUUUUCCAGGCAAAUCCGGAAAAUCAAGGCUGAGGCGUGAUGACGAGGCACUACGGUGCUGAAGCAACAAAUGCCCUGCUUCCAGGAAAAGCCUCUAAGCAUCAGGUAACAUCAAAUCGUACCCCAAACCGACACAGGUGGUCAGGUAGAGAAUACCAAGGCGCUUGAGAGAACUCGGGUGAAGGAACUAGGCAAAAUGGUGCCGUAACUUCGGGAGAAGGCACGCUGAUAUGUAGGUGAAGCGACUUGCUCGUGGAGCUGAAAUCAGUCGAAGAUACCAGCUGGCUGCAACUGUUUAUUAAAAACACAGCACUGUGCAAACACGAAAGUGGACGUAUACGGUGUGACGCCUGCCCGGUGCCGGAAGGUUAAUUGAUGGGGUCAGCGCAAGCGAAGCUCUUGAUCGAAGCCCCGGUAAACGGCGGCCGUAACUAUAACGGUCCUAAGGUAGCGAAAUUCCUUGUCGGGUAAGUUCCGACCUGCACGAAUGGCGUAAUGAUGGCCAGGCUGUCUCCACCCGAGACUCAGUGAAAUUGAACUCGCUGUGAAGAUGCAGUGUACCCGCGGCAAGACGGAAAGACCCCGUGAACCUUUACUAUAGCUUGACACUGAACAUUGAGCCUUGAUGUGUAGGAUAGGUGGGAGGCUUAGAAGUGUGGACGCCAGUCUGCAUGGAGCCGACCUUGAAAUACCACCCUUUAAUGUUUGAUGUUCUAACGUUGACCCGUAAUCCGGGUUGCGGACAGUGUCUGGUGGGUAGUUUGACUGGGGCGGUCUCCUCCUAAAGAGUAACGGAGGAGCACGAAGGUUGGCUAAUCCUGGUCGGACAUCAGGAGGUUAGUGCAAUGGCAUAAGCCAGCUUGACUGCGAGCGUGACGGCGCGAGCAGGUGCGAAAGCAGGUCAUAGUGAUCCGGUGGUUCUGAAUGGAAGGGCCAUCGCUCAACGGAUAAAAGGUACUCCGGGGAUAACAGGCUGAUACCGCCCAAGAGUUCAUAUCGACGGCGGUGUUUGGCACCUCGAUGUCGGCUCAUCACAUCCUGGGGCUGAAGUAGGUCCCAAGGGUAUGGCUGUUCGCCAUUUAAAGUGGUACGCGAGCUGGGUUUAGAACGUCGUGAGACAGUUCGGUCCCUAUCUGCCGUGGGCGCUGGAGAACUGAGGGGGGCUGCUCCUAGUACGAGAGGACCGGAGUGGACGCAUCACUGGUGUUCGGGUUGUCAUGCCAAUGGCACUGCCCGGUAGCUAAAUGCGGAAGAGAUAAGUGCUGAAAGCAUCUAAGCACGAAACUUGCCCCGAGAUGAGUUCUCCCUGACCCUUUAAGGGUCCUGAAGGAACGU